GUCCAUGUAGUAUACUAAUUAUACUGGUCUUGUAAACCAGAGAAGGGAAUUAAACUUCCCCAUAGACU
rnacentral:tRNA from 1 species